rnacentral:rRNA from 1 species
GACGAACCUUGCUAACGUUAUUCGGAAUUACUGGGCUUAAAGGGUGCGUAGGCGGUGCAGCAAGUCGGGUGUGAAAUCCUCCAGCUCAACUGGAGAAUUGCGCCCGAAACUGCUGUGCUUGAGAAAGAUAGAGGUACGCGGAACUUAGGGUGGAGCGGUGAAAUGCGUUGAUAUCUGGAGGAACACCGGUGGCGAAGGCGGCAUCCUGGACCGGUAUUGACGCUGAGGCGCGAAAGCCAGGGGAGCAAACGGG